GGGAAAGGUUCAGGAGAAGGGAUAGGAAAAGGGAAUGGAGAAGAGAUGGGAAAGGGGAUGGGAAAAUGGGUAGGAGAAACAGCUUGGGAGAAAAGGACGGGAAAGAGGAUAGGAGAAGGGAUGAGAGAAGGGCCCCAGCGGGAUGCAGGGUAGGCGAUGGGCUAUCAGGCACCUGUCUGCCUAUAAGAGGAGGAAAAAAAAGGGCAGGAAAAAAAAAAAAAGAGAGGAGAGGGGCCCAUCUGGCUUCUCAUCAGCUUUGUCAAGUCUUGCAUACGCUAAAAUGCUAAUGACCUAGAUAGCUCAUGCAAAAUGCAGCAGAGAGAGGAGGGAGCAGCGAGGGAGGGGAGGAGGGAGGGGGAAAGC
ensembl:lncRNA